rnacentral:rRNA from 1 species
UCGGCGUUGACUCCAAUUGAACCGCAGGCUUCACCCCUUGUGGUGCUCCCCCGCCAAUUCCUUUAAGUUUCAUACUUGCGUACGUACUUCCCAGGCGGCAGACUUAACGGCUUCCCUGCGGCACUGCAUUGGCCACAAGCCAAUGCAUCACCGAGUCUGCAUCGUUUACAGCUGGGACUACCCGGGUAUCUAAUCCGGUUUGCUCCCCCAGCUUUCAUCCCUCACCGUCGAACGUGUUCUGGUACACCGCCUUCGCCACAGGUGGUCAUCAAUAGAUCAAAGGAUUUUACCCCUUCCUAUCGAGUACCGUGUACCUCUCCCACUCCCUAGCUGCACAGUAUUUUCGGCGGCCUAUACGUUAAGCGCAUAGAUUUAACCGAAAACUUAUGCAACCGGCUACGGAUGCUUUAGGCCCAAUAAACCUCCUGACCACUCGAGGUGCUGGUUUUACCGCGGCGGCUGACACCAGAACUUGCCCACCCCUUAUUCACCAGUGAUUCUACAACUGACAAAAGACUCCUUUAGCAGGAGACACUCGGAUUAACCUUGUCGUGCUUUCGCACAUUGCAAAGGUUUCUCGCCUGCUGCGCCCCAUAGGGCCUGGGUCCGUGUCUCAGUACCCAUCUCCCGGGCCCUCCUCUCAGAGCCCGUACUGUUAUUAGCUGGUGGGGCCUUUACUCACCAACAAGCUGAUAAGGC